CCUCCAUGACAUUCCCCAAACUAUCAACAGCAGGAACACUUUUUGGAUUCACACAGCAAUGAGGGCUCCAUUGCCUGGAAGCUUAAAAACGCAGAGCGAAAACUCAGCUGCGGCCGUGGUGAUAGGAGAACGAGAAGUGACUGAAGAGCAGCAGUUGGAGGGAGACCAGCGUCGCCAGGCCAUAUCUCUACUGAAACACAGCACAGACCAUGAACAGAUCUUCAUGAAAAUGAGCAUGACCUUCAAAUUUGGGCAAAAGUUUAACCGUGAUCCAGACCAAUGCAGCAUGGUCUUUCAGUGUUCCCUAGGUUCCUCAACACAAAAGGGAUGGUACUAAGCUUGUACUGUCACCACCAAUAAAGCGACACUUGUGUCCUUUUUAGAUGUC